UUACAAGCUGGGGUCCCUGCUUCUCAUGACAGUGCUCUUUCCCACAUAGCAUUAUAGCCCAAACUCAUCAUAUUUAAGGUGCACCCAUCCAUUUUCCUAGGGACCCUGGAGAAGACAGUGUCUGGAAUGGAAAGAUCUGCUUAGCAGUCGUUAGUGAUGCUUCCUUAUGGCUUACAUCUCACAUCGUCUAGAAUUUCAAAAACCAUCAGAUGGAAAUCAUUUUAAAUUGACAUUAAACACAGAGUGACUUUAUUGAGAUAAGUAUCUGAUCAAGAAAAAAAGAGGUGGUUGGUUACUUGCAGAAAAUUAUUUGGAAGAAAGACCAAGAAGGACAAGAGGAAGGAGAGACCGGACAUGUGGAGAGGAACAGAUGUUCAAAGGGAGCUUACGG